rnacentral:sRNA from 1 species
UAAAAAUUUAUAAAAAUUUAAUAUAGUUAAUUAUAUUAAUUGGGGGACAUUUGCUUUUUUCCCUUAUAUGUUUUUAAAUAUAAAUAUAGGGGUCGAUAUGCCAAAAAGACUUCCGAUACCGGAAAUGGUUUUCCUAAAGAUUAAUUUAUAUGGGUUUGUAAAAAAACACCUUUAUUUAUAUAUAACCCAUUUUUCGGUUCGCAUUUAAAUGUAAAUUUAGUAAUAUUUUAAACCUAGUAUAAGAUAGUUAAUUUGUAAAUGUAAAAUGGGUGUGAAAUCCGGUACAGGGUAAUUAGUUCCAUUUGUUAACCUUUGAAUUGCAAUUGUUAUAUAAAUUAAAUAAACGGAAUUUUAACAACUCCAUUUCGGAAUUAUAAAUUAGAGGUUAUAUAUAAAUAGAAAUAGGCCUAUUAUACGCAAAAUAAUAUAUAUAAUUAACAACUUCUAAAUUUAAAAGGAUGAAAAUAAUAGGUUUAUAAAAUAUAAAACCAGGUUUAUUAUUAAGGGGCUUUUACAGGUUAAAAGCCUGAAUUAUACCGAGACUUUAUUAAUAUUAAUAUACCGCUUACCUGGCGUAUAUUAUUAAUGAUAAUUAAUAUGAAAAAUUGGGAAAUAAAACAAGUUAAUUUUAUUGGUGCGUUUUUAAAUAAUAAUCUUACCGACGUAAACAUUUACUUGAAAAUUUUAAAAAGAUUUAGCAAAUGGGUUAAAUUUUGCAGUUUUAUAACCGUUAAGACUUUAAUAGAAAUAAGGUAUAGUCUGACAAGAAUUUAAACCAUAUAAUUGGAAAGAACACUAUACGGUUCGAAAUAAAACCAAAAAAUGGUAAACAAAAUUAAAAACCCUAUUUUUAACAAAAGGGUUUGAAGCGUUAAGUUUUAAUUCCGCUUUUAUUUAUAAUACUAAACCCAAACAUUUUAUUAUUAUUUUUAUUAAUAAUUGCCUGUUAUUAAAUCCUAAAUUACAAUAAACUUAAUAUUUAAAACCGGUUUUGAUAAAAAAUACGUAUUAAAGAAUAGGGGCCCUGGAACCUAUUUUUCAAACGUUUAACUAAAAAAAAGUAGCUUUAACCCCCUCUUUUGGUUUUGUUAAAAUUAAAUAUAAAGCAAAUAUUACCAACGUUCGGAUUAAUUAAUUGCAAGUUUAUUUUUGUUUAUUUACAACCGGGUAUACUAAAAUAUAACGGGGGUAAAUUCGUAAAUACGUCGGAAACCAGAUUAUUACAAUAUAUUAUUAGUACCCUAAUAUAUAUAAUAUUAUUAACGCGUACGGAUAUCGGCUUUGCGGUUAAAUAAUUGUGUUGGUUUUUACUAAAAGUUAUUAAGUUUUAUUUAACCGUAAUGAAAAAUUUAUUUCGCUGUUUAACAAAUAUUAAAUCCCUAACAAUUUGCUACGGAAAUAAGAUAACUAAAACUAAUUUACUAGCUAAUUAUUUAAUUAGGGGUUUUAAAAUUUAAAAUUAUUUGGUUUUAACAAUUAUAAUUUUACUGGGGUUGGGGAAAAUUCAAAACCCAUUUACAAAUAUAUAUAUACGCCAUUUUGGGGGCCUUAUAACGUAAAAAUGCAAAAUGAUUAAUAUUAUAAUUUUAAGUAUUCCAAAAACGGAAACCAAUAUUAUAAUAGAAACCUUGCGUAAAAUAUAAUGGUUUUAGCACCUAUUUAUAAAAGCUAGAUUAUUUGUAAAAAAACCCUAUUGCAAUAUUUAGAAAUAAUAUAGGUUUUAUAAUUAACGUAUAUAAUUUGACGGACCAUUAACGUAUUAAAUAUACGUUAUUAAAAUUUUAUUAUAUACGGCAAUUAAUUACAGAAAGAUUAAUAACUUUAAAAUACCUGGAAUCUAAAUAAGUACCCGCUAAUAAUUUUCUAAAACCCUUAACGUCUCCAAUUUGUAAAGUUUUAUCUCAAGAUUUAUAAAAUCAAAACCCCUGUAAAUUUAAUUUUUAUUUAUUAAACUUCAGGGCACCGAAUUAUUUCGUUAAUUAAUUUUAAUUAUUUCUUUUGGUUUACAAUUAUCUGAUUUUUAUCAGCCCAAUACCAUCCGUUUUACUUAAAUUAGCUUUUGGUAAUUUAAUUAAUAAAUUGCUUAUACCGGCCCAAUACCCAAAAUUAAAUCCAAAUUAAAAUAAUACGCGUGUUAGGCAAUUUACCAAUUCGAAAUACGAUAUAUAUUAUAUUUGCUUAUAAUUUUUAAUAAUAAAACACCAAAUUAAUUAUUUGACCUAAUAAUUAAUUUCGUUGGUUAUAAUUUAUAAAUCGUGGGUUUAAAUUUGGGGUUAAUUAUUCGGUUUUUUUUUAAUUCCGAGGCUCGUUUAAUUUGGGGUCCAACUUAAUUAGCGGUCUCGGUAUAAAAGGUUUAAUUAUUCAAAAAAUCUUAUCGGGGGUUCGAAUUCGGUUGAAAUAUAAAAUGGAUUUUUGUUUUUUUGUUUUGCUCUUACAUAAUUUUCUUCUCCAACUUUAUUUUUAGAGUAAAUAGCAAAAAAGAGGGAGUGUUAAUUAUAUUUAUUAUUUUGUAAAUAAUGGACCCAUUUCUAUUUAUAUAUAGCUUUUAAUAUAUAAUAUUAAAAUGGGGCUGUUAUACUUCCGUUAAUUUAUUAUAUAUAUAAAAGUUAUAAUUUAAAAAUUCACGAAUGGGAUUAAUUACCUUACACCGGGUAAAGACUUUUAUCUAAUUUGCAUUUAAAUGCAAACCCAAAAUAGUUUAUAUACAAACAAGCGUGUUUUUUUAAAACCCUAUAUAAAUUAAAUUUUCGGAAAACUAUUUGCGGUAUCUGAGGUUUGUUUUGGCGUACUGACCUCCAUUUCAAUAUCGGAGGGUAUAUAAAGGAAAAGAGCAAGUUUUCCCCAACCAAUAUAACCAAUUGCCCCAAAUCUCAAUGCAUUUUACCUUAUAUUUACAGGGUAUUUCCACUAUUAUUACCGCGUUUUUAUUACUGGUUAGCACCACGCCGCACCUAGCGUUUACCCCUAAACUCCUAUUAGCACCUAUUAUUAUUAACACCCGCCUUUGGCGGUUUCUUACCAUUAAGAUAGUUUUAAUAAUUUGAAUUUUUUCGGGUUUGUCGUUUUUUUAUUAAUUAAAACUCGGAACAGGGUUAAAAAUGGGUCAGGUUUAAAAAAGUAACGGACUGUUAACAGCCUGUUUUAUUAAUUUUAUAUAAUAAAUGGGUUGAACUUUCUGUCGAGCGAUUAAUAUAAUUAUAAACGGGGUCAAUACCGUUAUUAAAUAAUAUUUCUUAUAAAUAUAAUCGAAUUUUUUAUACGGACGGCUUAUAUAUAUAUUUUAUAAAUUAAAAAUAUUUCGUUCCCAAUUUGGAAAUAUGCGUUUAAACGCCGUAAAUUAUUUACCCCGGUUUUUAAACACUAUUAUAUAUAUAUAAUAAUAAUUCAAAUUAAUUCGGAGUUCUCCCGUAAAUAUUCUAAAAAUUGCCUAAUUUUAAUUAUAAAACUCGAAAUUGGGGUUUUGCAAAAAAGGCAAUAUUUAGCACCGUGUCGACGUCGAAUUCCAAUAGUAAUUUACUUAAAUUUAUUUUUAUUACGGAAAAACUUCGGUUACUAAAAAGCCAUUAUUCAACUUCCAAAUAAUUGGAUUUAUUUUUUAAUGGAAAAUUUUGUAAAUUUAAAAAUAUUAUUGUAUUUUUUAAUUAACUUAUUUUACAUUUCCAUUAAUUUCGAGGUAAUAAGAAAUAGAAAUUAAUUUUUUUAUUCCGUUUAUUUAUAUAAUUCUGUCCCAAAACCUCCUAUUUAAUCGAAAUCUUUAUCGGAAAUAAUUUAAUUGGGAAAAUUAUCGAGAAACUAUUAAAAAACAAAAACCGUAACGCGUAAUUUUGCCCUUUUAUUAAAUAUAUUAUUGUGAAUUAUAUAUAUUUAAAAAGUUUAUUUGUAAUAAUUAUUUAAUAUUAACAUUUAUUUGCCCGUUUCCGGGUAAAUUAAUUAUAAACUCGAUCGAAAUUUAUUUUUAAAACUCAUCCGGUAUAAAUAAUAAUUGCAAAAAACUUUAACGUACCCGGUAUUAUAAGGUAAACCAACGACUAUACGACGGUUGGGUACCUAAAAAAAUUAUUAUUAUCGCUAAAGAAAAAGGAAAAAAAAGGCCAUUGAAAAGGUUUUGGCGGUUUUCCCUCCUUUAUAUAUAAUAUAAAUUAUUACGGAAUCCCCGUUAUUAUUUAUAAACGGAAAUAUAUGCGAUUAAUA